GACGAACGCUGGCGGCGUGCUUAACACAUGCAAGUCGAACGGAAAGGCCCCCUUGUGGGGUACUCGAGUGGCGAACGGGUGAGUAACACGUGAGUAACCUACCCUUGACUUUGGGAUAACUUCAGGAAACUGGGGCUAAUACCGGAUAGGAGCUCCUGCUGCAUGGUGGGGGUUGGAAAGUUUCGGCGGUUGGGGAUGGACUCGCGGCUUAUCAGCUUGUUGGUGGGGUAGUGGCUCACCAAGGCUUUGACGGGUAGCCGGCCUGAGAGGGUGACCGGCCACAUUGGGACUGAGAUACGGCCCAGACUCCUACGGGAGGCAGCAGUGGGGAAUAUUGCACAAUGGGCGGAAGCCUGAUGCAGCAACGCCGCGUGCGGGAUGACGGCCUUCGGGUUGUAAACCGCUUUCGCCUGUGGCGAAGCGUGAGUGACGGUAAUGGGUAAAGAAGCACCGGCUAACUACGUG
rnacentral:rRNA from 1 species